rnacentral:lncRNA from 1 species
CCAAGAUCAGUUUCUACGUCAAAGGGAAGAAGGAGACAUUUUUCUUCAAGAACAAGACUACACAAAUUCCAGAUCAAUCCAGACGUAAAUCAAGGAAGAGGACCAACAGGAGGAACAGGAACAAGCAAGUGUGGACCAAGUCAGCUAAGAUGGUCACUAUAGUUCAUGGAGGCCAAGAUCACCAACUUAAGUCACCGUUUUUGACCAAGAAGGACGACCCAGGAAUGCCAAGCAUUUACUGCUCCAUAAAUGGAUACAACUUUUACAAGACGAUUUGCGACACCGGAUCGGGCGUCAAUAUAAUGGCUGCAGUCACCUAUUGGCUCUUGUUCGGGACCAUGCCACUAAGACCAACAUACAUUCAGCUUCAGAUGGCAGAUCAGACAUUUCGAGAAGUUAAAGGAAUAGUAUCCGAUGUCCCAGUCAAAAUAGACGAUCACUUUGUCUAUACAGACUUUCAAGUUAUUGACAUGGGAGAAGACGAGUAUGAUCCACCCAUCAUCCUUGGAAGACCGUUCCUCAGCACCGUUAAAGCAAUUAUCUACAUUGGAACCGGAGAAGUCCAUAUGCACUUCCCCUCAGAGAAGAAUCUAAGCAGGUCAGGAAGAGACGCAACCGCAACUAGAGGAGGCAGAUCAUCAAGGACGGAUGGGCAGACUAUGAAGGAGAAGUUGUAAGGUCAGAAGACGUAGAGUUUAAACAGAAUUAUCUAGAGGAGAUUGAAGCACCGAGUCAGGUAUGGAAAAUGAAGAAAACUAUACAAGAAGAGGAGGCGCUGCCGGACGUACCGACUACGCCACUCAACGAACCUCAGGACGAUUGAGAAAAUGGAGAGUCCCGUUCGGAGGACUUAAAAACACCGAACGCCUUACCAAGAGGUAAACUUGGUAGUUAUCCUUUCCUUUUCAAAUUAUUUCAACUAGUUUACUAUGUUCGUGCUAUUCUCAAAAGAAAAUAAAAUUGUGAAAAACAGUAAGCCCCAUGUGAGUAGACGAGUGGAGUAAAACCCAUAAGUACAUUCACUGUGGUGGCAUAAAAAUAAAAUAAAUAUUUUUCUGCUUUAUAAAACAAAAAUAUAAAAACAAGGAGUAAUAAUUAUUAAGGAGUCUCAAGAUGAUGAAGGCUAGAUAUUUAUGCUAACACUUAAUUAGUUCCACAAGCUUUGUUGUCUAUUUGAGCUCCACAGGAUUUAAGAAACAAGAAGACUAGCAGACGGAGGACAUUCUAAUCGCUGUUAGAAUGCUGCUGACUUUCAAAUACACCUCUGCCACCUGCUAGCUACAUCAAGAGAAAUUACGUCAAAAUUCAGCUUGGGGGAGAGCACCUUCAUUUAUAUCGAUAAGUAUUUCAAUCUAUCUUUAUAUUUAUAUUAUUUUAGAAUAUUAAAAUACAUAACUAUGGAAAACCAAAUAAAGAUUUUAUGCUUAUAUAUAUAUCUUUUGUUUAGUGUGUUUAAUAAAUAAAUAAAGUGGCUAUGCUAAUCUGUAUCUAAAUAAAACUUAAGCAUGGAUAUGAUGAAUAGUUGCUCUGCCUAAUUUGCACAUUUUAAGUUUUCUCUCAAGUUUAGAUAUAACUGUUAUAAUUUAAAGCUUGCUCUAGACCUAAACUUGUGGGAUGAAAACUUGAUCUAAAGUCUAAGUUGUUAACGGAUAUGAUAUGGGAAGGUUGAGCUGCUGUUUAUCUGUUCCUAGAGAUGCUAGAAUUUUGGAGAAUUUUAUCUUUGAAAAUCUUUAAAAAUGUUGCAUGAUGAGUUCCUGUAUGAUGAGAGUUUUAAAUUCCUACCACAGCCAUAUAUACAUGCUUGCUAGACUUUGAGCCACACAUUUAUUAUUUACUGCUUAUGAGCAUUUAGUGUGGUCAAGCUGUGUAGACCCUUAGGAGCUUGUCAUGUGGUUAAAUCAAGAUUUCACUUGCACGUUCACUCAUAUAUGUUACUUCUACUCCGGAAGUACCAUCCACAUAUAUCCACCCAUUCCAACUCCAGAAUCACCCAAAAAUAUUCUACUCCUAAUCCAGGAGAGAAUAACCAAAAAUAUUUCUGUUUUCCCUUUGUGAAAUAAUUGCUCAAGUUAUCUUGUUACUACCACUUGCUAUAUUAUCUCAAGAGAUGAAUGCUCUGAAAAAAAAGAGAAAAAAAAGAUACGAGGAAAUAAAAAGGAGCAAGUGCUCGGAACCUCGAAAGAAAAGAAAAAGUGAGACGAGAGGUAAAAAUGGACAAGUGUCCGACAGUAGAAUUAGGGGUGCAAGAUACCCACCUGAGAGAAAAGAAAAGAAAAACAAGAGCAUCUCAUUCUCCUCAUAAAAUUUCAAAAAGCAAGGAAGGUAUGUAUCCCCUCAAAGAGCAAAAGUAGAAUUAGACUUCCACCACCAUUGUUAUCACCAUCAUCACCAUACACCAUUCAUUCGCCACACAUGCACAUCUUGAUUUGGCUUAUUGAUUUGUUUCUUUGGAUCCAUGGUUUGACUCUGCAAUAAAUGUCUUGUAAGUAUGUAUACUUUAUCUCCCACCUAUAAGCUCCAGAUAUUAAAGCCUUAUUAGAGUAGGGUGAGAGAGAAGACAAUGUCACUAUGCUUUAUACCACAAAUACUACAUAUCUUGAGAGAAGGCAUAUACCAUCACUGCCUUGGUAAGGAUCCAGAAAUACCACAAAAGAGAGACCUGAGAGAAUCAUACAAGGAAUCUCUGAGUUUUAUUUGAAAAUCUGCAAAAAAACCCCAGAGUUAUAGCUGAUCAAGAAUAAGAGACAUGGCACUUGGCUAGACUGUUCUAUCUUUUAACUACUCAAGACAGAAGUGAUAGUUACAAGUCCCAUGGUGAAGGUAAAGUAAGUAAGUUUUAAGUCUUGACAGUUUACUCUAACUCAGAGAUGAGAUCUUAUUUAAAAGCAUAUGCACCGUCAAGUUUUAAAAUAUUGCAGCAACUUCUGAUCCAUAGCUGAGUCUAUCCUUGCUCAGGGACGAGCAAGAGGUAAGCUUGGGGGAGUUUGUUGACGGUCCUUAAGUAUCAAAUUUAAUUAUCAAAUAAAUAAAGAAAAGGAUCCAAAUGAAAUCAAGAUCUAGACUUAGGGUUUUAUCUGACAGAAUUCCACGAGUUUUGGUGUUUGUCUAUUUCUGCAGGGGGUUAUCAGGAAAUAUGGAAGAAAGGCCCACAUGUCAGGAUUACGUAAAGAUAUUAACGUGCCGCGCAAUUAUCUUACAUCUAGAAGACUCCAGAAGCCACGAGACCGAAGCGGAGGCGAAACGGGGCCAGAGACAGGGCGCCCGCCCUGCCCCCAAGUCCAAACAGGACUCUGCUUUGCGGGAAGUCUCCACCGACCUAAAGGAUGAAUCUAAACCAUACAAUCUAUGUCGGUUUGAUCCAAGGGCUCAUAUUCACUUGAAGGGACUAUAAAACCAGACCCCCUGGCCCCUGGAGGAGGGAGCCUCUCAACCCUAAUUCAUUGUUCCUCAAGGGAGAAGAAGCCUCUGAUCAAGUUAGAGCCACCACAUCAAUUAGAUAUCUAGAUUAGCAUAGCUACAUAGGAUUAGAACUAGAAGGAGUCAAUCUUCGAUUGGUUUCCGGAUCUGUCAGGAGGAUUCUUGGUAAUUCUCUAAUUGUGCUUCUAAUUGCUUUCUAAUUAUCCUUGUUCUUCAAUAUUAUGAAUAUGACUUUGUUCUACUUCAAUAUAUUGCUUAUGACUUUGCUCUACUUGCUUAUAUUCAAGAUUAUAUUGUUCUUAGUUUAUCAUAGUUAUGUACUUGGCUUAGUUAGAUUGGAUCUAUAUACAUGCUUAGGAUCGUAUAGCGUUUAUCCAUCGGAUCCAUGGGUAAAUGAUAGAUAUUGUGUAGGCGUGGUGCUUAUACUGUAUUUAUCUGCGAUUGUACCCAAUAUGCCAGAUCGUGGGGUGGUUCGUGAUAGUGACAGCUUCAUUGAUUCUUAUAUAGUCCCCCUCUCGUGUAUUGGGCUGGCAGAGCAAUAUUAUUACAGGGGAGUGAUUGCUAUGUUUCUCAUAUUCCUUGCUAAUAUCACUAUGCAUGGGCGUAGUCUUGUCUCACAAUGAUUGCUAAGUAUGCUUGCACUAACUAUGAUAUGCUAGACUAUAUAGUUGAGAAUAACUUAGGGAAUAUUCUUGUAGUUCGUUCUAAUACCAUGCUAAUGACUUUCUAGAGUAUCUAAUUGAGGUGCUUAUCAUAUUUAUUAUGUGGCUAGAUCAGAUUAGUUAUCCUUGUCACUAUUAUUAUUUUAUAUAUCUUUUAUGUGACACUUAUCCCUGUGUGAAGAGUUAGAUAUAAUGUUCUCAAUUAUACAUGCAAUGAUAGAUGCUCAAUCUCAUAUUCUAUUCUAUAAUCAAUAGUGAUGAUUGCUAAUCCCUUCCCAGUGGUAAAAAUAUAAAUAACGAUACCUGGAAUACUUCCCGGUUAAAAUGCUGCAUCGGUAUUAAUCUGUGCGCUUGCAGAUCCCAUUCAUUAUUUAUUUAGAAGAGCAAUUGCAUAUUUCAAUACCGCGUCUCUUAUAUCAUGCUGGGGAUGACAACUUGGCUUAAGUGGUGUGAGGGAUAGGUUUGGCAUUUUUGGCACCGUUACUAGAUUUAGAGAACUUAGUCUACUUUUGGUAAUGAUGUUAAGAAUACCCAACAAAGAACAAAUACACUUUUGGUUCUAUUGGUGUUUUCCACCAACAGGGCCCAUGCACUUGAUCUCUGCCUUGUCUCUAUGAGCAGGACACAUUUUGAGAAACAUGAAGGCGUUUUACAACUCCCAGAUUCCAUCAAGUGAAGAACCGGGAUCUAUGAGCACAAACACAAUGGAGAUCAGACACUUAGUUUCCCAAAGGAAAUAUUGAAGAACCUAUGUGUCCGAGUUGGUACCUUGUACACUCCAGCAAACUUUGUGGUGAUAGAGACUGGUACUGAGGAGGGGGCACCCAUCAUCUUAGGGAGGCCAUUCCUAAACACCAGAGCUGUCAUCUACGCUAAUGCUGCCAAGAUCACUUUCUACAUCAAGGGGGAAAAGGAGACUUUCCUUCAAGAACAAGACUACACAAAUUUCAGAGCAAUCCCGACAUGAACCAAGGAAGAGGAUCAACAGGAGGAACAGGAACAAGCAAAUGUGGAAAGAGUCAGCUGAGAUGGUCACUGCAGCUCAAGGAGGUCAAGAUCGUCGACUCAAGUCACCUUUCUUGAUCAAGAAGGACGACCCUGGUGUUCCAAGCAUUGAGUGCACAAUCAAUCGAUACUCUUUUUAGAAGACACUCUACGACACCAGAUCUGACGUCAACAUAAUGGCCGCAGUCACUUAUCAGCUCCUGAAUGGAACCAUGCUCCUACAACCAAAAUACAUUCAGCUCCACACGAUUUUCAGGUCAUUGACAUAGGAGAAAACUAGUAUGAUUCACCCACCAUUCUUGAAAGACCGUUCCUCAACACUAUCAAAGCAAUCAUCUACAUUGGAACCGGGAAAGUCCACAUGUACUUCCCCUCUGAGAAGGUACGCAGCUAUUUUACUGACCAUAACUAUAUAGUUGAAGACUCUAAGCAGGUCAGGACAAGAAGACAACGCAACCGCAACCAGAGGAGGCAAAUCAUCAAGGACGGAUGGGUAGACUACGAAGGAGAAGUGAUAAGGUCUGAAGACAUAUAGCUUGAACAGAACUGUCCUGAUGAGACCGUAGCACCGAGUCAGGUGUGGAGAGAGAAGAUAGUUACACACGAAGAGGAGGCGCCGCCGGAACCACCGACUACGUCAUCCAGCAAAUCCUAGGACGACUGAGAAAACGGAGAGUCCCGUUCGGAGGACUUAAAAAUACCGAACGCCUUGCCAAGAGGUAAACUUGGUAGUUAUCCUUUUCCUUUUAAUUAUUUAAAAUAGUUUGCUUAGUUAAUCAGGUUCAUGCUAUCUUAAAAAGAAAAUAAAAAUGUUAAAAAACAGUAAGCCCCAUGUGAGUGUACGAGUGGCAUAAAACCCAUAAGUACAUUCACUGUGGAGGCGUAAAAAUAAAAUAAAUAUAUUCUUGUCCCAUAAAUAUAAAAAUAUAAAAAUAAAUUUACGAUCCUACUAAAGAGAGUAACAUUUAUUGAGGAGGCUCAACAUGAUAAAGGCUAGAUAUCUAUGCUAACACUUAACCAGUUCCACAAAGCUUUGUUGUCUAUUUGAGCUCCACAGAAUUCAAGGAUCAAAGAAGACUAGCAGACGCAGGACAUCCUAAUCGCUGUCGGGGUGCUGUCGACUUUCAAAUACACCUCCAUCACCUGCUAGCUACAUCAGAAGAAAUUACGUCAAAAUUCAGCUUGGGGGAGAGCACCCCCAUUUAUCUCGCUAAGUAUUUCUACCUAUCUUUAUACUUAUAUUAUGUUAGAAUAUUAAAAUACAUAAACUAUGAAAAACCCAAAUAAAGAUUUUGUGCUUUUAUAUAUAUAUCUUUGCUUAGUUUGCUAAAUAAAUAAAUAAAUAAAAUUUGCUAUGAUCCCUCAUGAUAAGCUCUCUCAUGGAAAUCAUGAAUAGUUGCUCUGCCAUGACUAGUUCUUAAAAUUGAAAUCUCUCUCAAAUUUAGGCAUAACUGUUAUAAUUUAAAGCUUGCUCUAAACCUAAACUUGUGGGAAGAGUACUUGAUCUAAAGUCUAAGUCAUUAACGGAUAUGAUAUGGAAGGUUGAGCUGUUGUUUAUCUGUUCCUAGAGAUGCUAGAAUUCUGGAGAAUUUUAUCUUUGAAAAAUCUUUAAAAUAUCACAUGAUGAAUUCCUGUAUGAUGAGAGUUUAAAAUCCUAUCACAGCCAUAUAUACAUGCUUAUUAGACUUUGAGCCAAACAUUUACUUUUUUACUGCUUAUGAGCAUUGAGUGUGGUCAAGCUGUGUAGACCCUUAGGAGCUUGUCAUGUGGUUAAAAUCAAGAUUCACUUGCACGUUCACUCAUACAUGCUGCUUGUACUCCGGAAGUACGCAUCCACUUACAUCCACUCAUUUCCAUUUCCACAUUCACCCAAAAUUAUUCUACUCCUAAUCCGGGAGAGAAUAGCCAAAAAUAUUUUCCUAUCCCUGUUAUUCCCUGUGAAGUAAAUGCUCGAGUUAUCUUGGUUACUACCACUUGCUAUAUUAUUUAAGGAGAUGAGUGCUCUAAAAAAAAGAGGAAAAAUACGAGGAAAUAAAAAGGGGCAAGUGCCCGGAACCUCGAAGAAAAAGAAAAAGUGAGACGAGAGGUAAAAAUGGACAAGUGUCCGACAGUAGAAUUAGGGGUACAAGAUACCCACCUGAGAGGAAAGAAAAAGAAAAUAUAGAGCAUCUCAUUCUCCCCAAUAAGCUUCAAAGUGCAAGAAAGGUAUGUAUCCCCUCAAAAGAGCAAAAAUAGAAUUAGACUUUCACCAUUGUUAUUACCAUCAUCACCAUACACCAUUCAUUCACCACACAUGCACAUCUUGAUUUGACUUAUUGACUUGUUUCUCUGGAUCCAUGGUUUGACUAUGCAAUAAAUGUCUUGUAAGUAUGUAUUAGCUGUUUCCCACCUAUGAGCUCCAGAUAUCAAAACCUUAUUAGAGUAGGGUGAGAGAGAAGGCAAUAUCACUAUGCAUUAUACCAAAAAUACCACAUACUUUGAGAGAAGGCAUAUACCAUUACUGCCUUGGUAAGGAUCCAGAAAUACCACAAAAGAGAGAUCUGAUAGAGUCAUAUAAGGAAUCUCUGAGUUUUAUUUGAAAAUCUGCAAAAACCCCAGAGCUAUAGCUGAUCAAGAACAAGAUACAUGGUGCUUAACUUGACCGUUCUAUCUUUUAACUGCUCAAGACACAAGUGACGGUUACAAGCCCCAUGGUGAAAGGUAAAAUGAGUAAGUAUUAAGUCUUAACAGUUUAUUCUAAAUCAGAGAUGAGAUCUUGCUUGAAUGCGUGUGUACUUUUAAGAAAUGAAACCACUGCAGAAACUCUCGAGUUCAUCCUUGCUCAGGGACGAGCAAGAGGUAAGCUUGGGGGAGUUUGUUGACGGUCCUUAAGUAUCAAAUUUAAUUAUCAAAUAAACAAAGAAAGGGAUCC